rnacentral:rRNA from 1 species
GACGAACGCUGGCGGCGUGCUUAACACAUGCAAGUCGAACGGAGCGAAUGAAAGCUUGCUUUUAUGAGCUUAGUGGCAAACGGGUGAGUAACACGUAGACAACCUGCCGACAGGGUGGGGACAACAUUCCGAAAGGAAUGCUAAUACCGAAUGAAGCGGAGGAGAGGCAUCUCUCCUCCGUGAAAGAUGGCCUCUGAAAAUGCUAUCACCUGUCGAUGGGUCUGCGUCUGAUUAGCUAGUUGGUGAGGUAACGGCUCACCAAGGCGACGAUCAGUAGCCGGUCUGAGAGGAUGAACGGCCACAUUGGGACUGAGACACGGCCCAGACUCCUACGGGAGGCAGCAGUGGGGAAUCUUCCGCAAUGGGCGCAAGCCUGACGGAGCAACGCCGCGUGAGUGAAGAAGGUCUUCGGAUCGUAAAGCUCUGUUGACGGGGACGAACG